AUACAGAGGGUGCAAGCGUUAUCCGGAUUUAUUGGGUUUAAAGGGUGCGUAGGCUGUGCGUUAAGUCAGGGGUGAAAUGCCGUCGCUCAACGACGGAGCUGCCCUUGAUACUGGCGUGCUGGAGUACGGAUGCCGUUGGAGGAAUGAGUGGUGUAGCGGUGAAAUGCUUAGAUAUCACUCAGAACACCGAUUGCGAAGGCAUCUGACGAAUCCGUCACUGACGCUGAGGCACGAAAGCGUGGGGAUAGAACAGGAUUAGAUACCCUGGUAUUCCACGCCGUAAACGAUGAUGACUAACCGUCGGCGAUAGACAGCCGGUGGCCAAGCGAAAGCGAUAAGUCAUCCACCUGGGGAGUACGUCGGCAACGAUGAAACUCAAAUGAAUUGACGGGG
rnacentral:rRNA from 1 species